GACGAACGCUGGCGGCGUGCUUAACACAUGCAAGUCGAACGGAAAGGCCUGCUUUCCCUUGUGGAUUGCGGGUACUCGAGUGGCGAACGGGUGAGUAACACGUGAGUGAUCUGCCCCCAACUUGGGUCUAAGCCUGGGAAACUGGGUCUAAUUCCCGAUAGGACUGCAGGGUGGUGCCUGUGGUGGAAAACGAUUUUCUAGUGGUUGGGGAUGAGCUCGCGGCCUAUCAGCUUGUUGGUGGGGUAAUGGCCUACCAAGGCGGCGACGGGUAGCCGGCCUGAGAGGGUGGACGGCCACAUUGGGACUGAGAUACGGCCCAGACUCCUACGGGAGGCAGCAGUGGGGAAGAUUGCACAAUGGGCGGAAGCCUGAUGCAGCGACGCCGCGUGGGGGAUGACGGCCUUCGGGUUGUAAACUCCUUGCGACCGCGAGGAAGCCACCUGGUUGGAAGGGUGGUGACGGUAGUGGUAGAAGAAGCACCGGCUAACUACGUG
rnacentral:rRNA from 1 species